CAGCCGUAAACUAUGCUCGCUAGGUGUCAGGCAUGGCGCGACCGUGUCUGGUGCCGCAGGGAAGCCGUGAAGCGAGCCACCUGGGAAGUACGGCCGCAAGGCUGAACUUAAAGGAUUGGCGGGGGAGCACAACAACGGGUGGAGCCUGCGGUUUAAUUGGACUCAACGCCGGACAACUCACCGGGGACGACAGCAAUAUGUAGGCCAGGCUGAAGACCUUGCCUGAAUCGCUGAGAGGAGGUGCAUGGCGUAGACGUCU
rnacentral:rRNA from 1 species